GUGACGACCCCAUCGCCCAUCACCUUCUCGUGAUGCAAUCAGUCGCGCAGGUAUUUUGAUGGGAGGUAUCUUUUCCCCCACCCCACAGUGCGAGAUAUAAAACGCUCCCAGAGCUUUAGUAUUUUAUAUGUACCUAAUGGUUUUUAUUUGUCCAUAGAUAAGGGCCACAGUAAAUGUUUGGUUCAUCGCACUGCGGAGGUAUUGUUUGCAUCAAUAAAUAAUAAUCGUCGCCUCAUACAUGCCGCAACCUUAUUUCACAGUAUAAUAAAUAAAAGACUGGCGUACUUGUACUAGAAAUUUAAUUUUCAAACAGAUUGGUACACCUAAUUUGAUGCAAUUUAUAUUUAUCUCUUUUUUUUCUUUAUCUUUUCUCAUACUCUAUACUUAUUUUUAUAAUGUAAUAUUCUUCUUUUCGUGGAUCGGAAUUCAAAAUGUGGAAGGACAGAUUGGCAUUGUUUUAUUAUCAAUCUGAACUUCGCCUUGCAUUAACUUUUUCUUGUUUAUUUUCUUUUUUUGGUUAAAGCAUUGAAUAAGCACUAUUCAAUGGUUAAAGGCAAUAUUUUUUUUGACAGAUGGGGAAAUGCAUUACGCACACUCCAGAUGGAGGUCUGGAGUAGUGUGGGGCUGUCCCAAUUAAAUCCCCAUCUGAGGCUUCGGCUUCUAAGGCCAUUAUCCUGCACACUAAUUUCUUUUUUUUAUAUCAUAGCUACGAUAUACCUACACGCAGAACAAGACGCGCUAGGUUACAUUUACCUACUCACAAAAAACAAAAAUUAAAAAUAUCACAGUCUGUUUGCUAUUCCAAUUCUCUGAAUGAAAGCUAGAGUCUUUUUGUAUUGCUCUUUAUUUUUAAAGUUAUUUUCCCAUGCCUGGGUUAAUAUUGAAACGCGCCGCAGAAUAUUGUGGACAAUUCGAUAUAAUGUGAUUUGGUGUUAAAUAGACGUCUAUUUACGUACGUUUCUUGUUGGAUAUGCUCUCAGAGAAUAUAACAAAUAACCAGGUUCUGGAUCUCGAAAAUCUCAAAGUGAUGUCAUAGGCACUCUUUAUAUCGAAGAAAACCCUAACCAUACGUUGCUUUCGAGAAACGUUUGCAACUGCACAUUAACUAUUUUCUCUAGCAGUGUACUCAAGCACGAUGUCAAACUAAUUGGAUGAUAACUUUUUGCCAGCAACUGAUCUUUUCCUGGGUUAGACAUAUGGACGACAAUGGCUUGUUUCCAUUCCGAGGGAUAAGGGUACAGUGAUGAAGUAGCUGGUUAUGGAUACCGUCUUCUCCCUGUGAACAUGACUUGGUGUUACGGAUGGCGGUGUUCAAUUCUUUCAAGAUCAUUGGUUCCCAAACUUCUUUCCAUGGCGCCCCCUUUCUGAAAACUAAAAUUGCUUACGCCGCCCUUCUUGGAUUAAAAAAUCAACUUUACUACAAAACAAUUACGUUAUUAUACAGGGUGAGUUU